UCCCAUCCCGAACACAGAAGUCAAGCCCUUCAUCGCCAAUGGUACUAUGUGGUUCGCUGCAUGGGAGAGUAGGACGCUGCCAGAA
rnacentral:rRNA from 1 species